UACGAAGGGUGCAAACGUUGCUCGGAAUCAUUGGGCGUAAAGCGCACGUAGGCGGCCUUGCAAGUCGGAUGUGAAAUCCCACGGCUCAACCGUGGACGUGCAUUCGAAACUGCUUGGCUCGAGUAUGGAAGAGGGUCGCGGAAUUCCCGGUGUAGAGGUGAAAUUCGUAGAUAUCGGGAGGAACACCAGUGGCGAAGGCGGCGACCUGGGCCAAUACUGACGCUGAGGUGCGAAAGCGUGGGGAGCAAACAGG
rnacentral:rRNA from 1 species